rnacentral:rRNA from 1 species
AUUGAACGCUGGCGGCAUGCCUAACACAUGCAAGUCGAACGAAGGCUUCGGCCUUAGUGGCGCACGGGUGCGUAACGCGUGGGAAUCUGCCCUUGGGUUCGGAAUAACAGUUAGAAAUGACUGCUAAUACCGGAUGAUGUCGUAAGACCAAAGAUUUAUCGCCCAAGGAUGAGCCCGCGUAGGAUUAGCUAGUUGGAGGGGUAAAGGCCCACCAAGGCGACGAUCCUUAGCUGGUCUGAGAGGAUGAUCAGCCACACUGGGACUGAGACACGGCCCAGACUCCUACGGGAGGCAGCAGUGGGGAAUAUUGGACAAUGGGCGAAAGCCUGAUCCAGCAAUGCCGCGUGAGUGAUGAAGGCCUUAGGGUUGUAAAGCUCUUUUACCCGGGAUGAUAAUGACAGUACCGGGAGAAUAAGCUCUGGCUAACUUCGUGCCAGCCGCCGCCGUAA